UACGUAGGGGGCAAGCGUUGUCCGGAUUUAUUGGGCGUAAAGAGCGUGUAGGCGGCCAGGUAGGUCUGCUGUGAAAACUCGAGGCUCAACCUCGAGACGUCGGCGGAAACCAUCUGGCUAGAGUCCGGAAGAGGAGAGUGGAAUUCCUGGUGUAGCGGUGAAAUGCGCAGAUAUCAGGAGGAACACCUGAGGCGAAGGCGGGUUGCUAGGCUGAUACUGACGCUGAGUGCGCGAAAGCUAGGGUAGCAAACGGG
rnacentral:rRNA from 1 species